rnacentral:tRNA from 1 species
GUUGGUGGAGCUCAGUGGUAGAGUGCAUGCUUUGUAUGUAUGAGGUCCUGGGUUCAACCCCCAGCUUCUCCC